rnacentral:rRNA from 1 species
AGUGAACGCUGGCGGCGUGCUUAACACAUGCAAGUCGAACGAGAACGGGUUAUAGCUUGCUAUAAUUGUCAGCUAAGUGGCGCACGGGUGAGUAAUGUAUAGGUAAUAUGCCUCUUACUAAGGGAUAACAAUUGGAAACGAUUGCUAAUACCUUAUACUCCUUAUUAACAGAAGUUAAUAAGGGAAAGAUUUAUUGGUAAGAGAUUAGCCUGUAUUGUAUCAGUUAGUUGGUGGGGUAAUGGCUUACCAAGACUAUGACACAUAACUGGUUUGAGAGGAUGAUCAGUCACACUGGAACUGAGACACGGUCCAGACUCCUACGGGAGGCAGCAGUGGGGAAUAUUGCACAAUGGACGAAAGUCUGAUGCAGCAGCGCCGCGUGGAGGAUGACACAUUUCGGUGCGUAAACUCCUUUUAUAUGAGAAGAUAAUGACGGUAUUAUAUGAAUAAGCACCGGCUAACUCCGUGCCAGCCGCCUCAGUAA